AACGCAUAUUGCGCCCUCUGGUAUUCUGGGGGGUACACCCGUUCGAGCGCCAUUUCAACCCUCAAGCAUGGCUUGGUGUUGGUGCGGGUCUAUGGGGACCCCCGCCGAAACUCGUAGGCGUCGUCGUCCAGCCUCCAGCGUAGCAGGCUCACGCACGCGUUGGGGGAGGCCCGGCGGCUGCCCGCCGUUUUACAGCGUAUUGGCCUCGGAUCGGGUGGGGAUACCCGCUGAACUUAA
rnacentral:misc_RNA from 1 species